UUGCUGUUGGUUGUUGUUGUUGUAACUCAUAUUUAACACAUUUAGAGUUUGGGUCAAGUUGCUAACGAGUUUUCGAGUGCGUCUGUGUGUGUGCGGGGGGAGGGUUAAGGGCUUAAAGUGAGGCCGCCUUUUAUCAACUCAUCAAAGGGCAGUGAAAUGCCAACGUGGAAUUUCAGUUGAGAGUAAAGGGAUAAGAGCGGGCUGGGCUGGGCUGGCUGUGUGGGCUAUAAAGCACAUAACGGAUGCUGUAUCUGUGUCUGUGCGUAUGCAUAGUUGUUCUUUAUGGCCAUUACGUAUACGCAACGUGUGGCGAAUGGCAACACACAAGGGAACAGCAACGACACUGUCAAGCAGGACAUGGGAGAGAGAGAACGAGGAGAGCGGAAGCAAGAGAGAGCGAGAGAGUGAGGAAAGCAUGCUGUGACUAUUUUCAUUGGCACAAAGGGGUGGGCGGGGGGCUUGGGGCUGUAGUAGGUGGCUCAGCUCUAGCUUUGGGGGUAUACACAAAAAAUUGUUACAAUUGCUGCUCAGGCACAACAAUAAUAUGCUUUUUAUAUUUCUUUUGUGUGUCACGCAUAAAAUGUUGUAAGCUGCUACAUUUUUCACGCGAAAAUUGCCAGUUUUAUAUUUCUUUUGCUUGUAUUUUCAUUUUAUUUGAAAGCGUCCAACAGCGAACGCGCCUAAGCAGCCAAAAUCAAGUACGUUCACACACAAUGUUUUAUACUAUAUAUAUACAUAUAUAUGCAGACAGCUAGACAGACGUACAUAUGUAUAUAUGCCGCGCUGUCGUAGCCGCUGCUGACCAGGCCAAGCAUUAGUUGGCUUUUAUAUAUAUUUUUAUAUUUAUUGUUGUUGUUGCUGCUGCUGCUGCUGUCGUUGACUUUUGUAGCGCUGUCUUGCGCUAACACUUUAGAAAUUAAUUUUUUUUAUGGCUUUUUUGGCGAAAAAAACGCAGUUUGUAUUUUUAAAACGUGUGGUAACUGCGCUUGUUGUUAUUAUUGUUGUUGUUGGUGUUGUUGUUGCAACGCCAGAACGCACGAAAACUGGCACACACAGAAUUAAAGCUAACACACACAGAGACACUCUUACUACCAAACAACAUGCACACACACACACACACACACACACGCUCAGCAAAGUCGUACAACGCGCUGUCGCUGCCAACUGCGCUGCCAACAACAACAACGACAGCGGCGGCGGCGACGUCGACGACAACGAAAAACCCGAAAAAAAUAAUGAAAACGUGAAAAACGUUGCGACGGCUUUUAUUUUUCUUUUACUUUUUGUUUUUAGUAUUUUUCUUUUUUUUUUUGUACUAACCGAAACGGCGGAAAUAUAUUUCAGUUCAGUAGUAGUGUUGUAUGUUUGAAGCAGAAGUGUUGCAAUCACGACGGUAGAACAACGACUCAGGCCAAACACGAAACGCUACAACCAACUUGGGCCCCAAUGGCAGCUGGCGUCAGUCUAACAGCGACGCCAACGUCGACGUCAACGCCGACGCAGCGCGCAGAGUCGCUCUCACAACGUAUGCGUUGCGCUCACUGCUGCUCGCGUGCGCUCCUAGGCAGCCAAGCGCUCUCUUCAUAGCUGGGGAUGCAAUGUGCACGUGUGAGCUGCCGUAUACACACACACACAAACACAUGAUUGUGCUGUUGUGUGUGUGUGUG